UGCGAGCGUGGCGGAACUGGCAGACGCGCCAGGUUUAGGUCCUGGUGGGCAAUAGCCCGUGGAGGUUCGACUCCUCUCGCUCGCAG
rnacentral:tRNA from 1 species